CCUCAGAUCAGACGAGACUACCCGCUGAAUUUAAGCAUAUCAGUAAGCGGAGGAAAAGAAACUAACAAGGAUUCCCUCAGUAACGGCGAGUGAAGCGGGAAGAGCCCAGCACCGAAUCCCCUGGUUCUGCGCUAGCGGGAAUUGUGGUGUUUGGGACGCCUAUCGGCGCUGUGUCCCUGUGCCCAAGUCCUUCUGAUCGGGGCCUUUCCCAUAGUGGGUGUCAGGCCUUUAGCGGCACGGGACUAGGCGUCCUUGAGCGUCCUUGGAGUCGGGUUGUUUGGGAAUGCAGCCCUAAGCGGGGGGU
rnacentral:rRNA from 1 species